rnacentral:lncRNA from 1 species
CCUGCUCCAGACUUGCUACCGAAUCCAGCAAGAAGAGGGAGAGAGCUCUACGCAUCGGGAUGGAAGUCCAUUCAAUGCUGAGCAAGGAGAAGAAACAGGUAGAUCUGUUCCUGGCGACUUGCCUGGUAGACAUGUACUGCAAGUGUGGCGAGCUUGAGGAGGCUCGCAAGAUUUUCCACUCCAUGGGAACUCGGAGUGUUGUGUCCUACACCGCGAUCAUCCAGGGCUGCAACACGAACGGGCGAGCUGAACUUGCUCUGGAGUACUACUCUGCCCUGAGAGCUGAUAACACCAUUCAACCUGACGAUCGGACUCAUGUCGUGGUGAUCAGCGCCUGCUCCACACUUGCUACCGAAUCCAGCGAGAAGAGGGAGAGAGCUCUACGCAUCGGGAUGGAGAUCCAUUCAAUGCUGAGCAAGGAGAAGAAACAGCUAGAUCUGUUCGUGGCGAAUUGCCUGGUAGACAUGUACUGCAACUGUGGCGAGCUUGAGGAGGCUCGCAAGAUUUUCCACUCCAUGGGAACUCGAAGUGUUGUGUCCUACACCGCGAUCAUCCAGGGCUGCAACACGAACGGGCGAGCUGAACUUGCUCUGGAGUACUACUCUGCCCUGAGAGCUCGUACCACCAUUCAACCCAACGAUCGGACUCAUGUCGCGGUGAUCAGCGCCUGCUCCACACUUGCUACCGAAUCCAGCGAGAAGAGGGAGAGAGCUCUACGCAUCGGGAUGGAAGUCCAUUCAAUGCUGAGCAAGGAGAAGAAACAGGCAGAUCUGUUCCUGGCGACUUGCCUGGUAGACAUGUACUGCAACUGUGGCGAGCUUGAGGAGGCUCGCAAGAUUUUCCACUCCAUGGGAACUCGAAGUGUUGUGUCCUACACCGCGAUCAUCCAGGGCUGCAACACGAACGGGCGAGCUGAACUUGCUCUGGAGUACUACUCUGCCCUGAGAGCUCGUACCACCAUUCAACCCAACGAUCGGACUCAUGUCGCGGUGAUCAGCGCCUGCUCCACACUUGCUACCGAAUCCAGCGAGAAGAGGGAGAGAGCUCUACGCAUCGGGAUGGAAGUCCAUUCAAUGCUGAGCAAGGAGAAGAAACAGGCAGAUCUGUUCCUGGCGACUUGCCUGGUAGACAUGUACUGCAAGUGUGGCGAGCUUGAGGAGGCUCGCAAGAUUUUCCACUCCAUGGGAACUCGGAGUGUUGUGUCCUACACCGCGAUCAUCCAGGGCUG